UUUUUCAACCUUCGUGUUUGUUUGAGGACCAAUCUGCUCAUGUAACAACAUUUGCAUUAUCAAUGCAUCAGCCACUUGGUUCCCUUUUUCGAAAAAUAUGUGAAAAACGAAAUUGCAUCACUGGAAUUCCAUGCCACAUCUCUAGUUAUCAAUGGACCAUUUAGGGAGUAUAGAAAAUCUAGAAUUAGAGACGACUUCAAACCAAAUAUGCAAGCUGGAUUGCCUUCAUCAUUGUCGUAACCUCAGCAACAAUUAUCAAGUGAUGAAGCAAAAGCAUGGACAAUCCUCACCUUGAAAAUCAUGAAAAACUCCACCAUAGCCCGACUGAUCCUCCCCACACUUUUAAGCGCCGUCUGUGUCAACCUUUACCAAACCAAUAAUGGGAGGUUUCCAAUUCACCUCAAAAAUAAGGGCAUGACGCGGCCGACAAGUAACACCAAACCAGCUAGUCAAGAGGACAAAACACAGACAAAAAAGAGAAAAUUACAUAGUAAUACAUGACCAAAUUUACAAACACAAAAACCAACUUUCAAUAUUUUUUGUACAAAUUAGGACAUGAGUACGUGCCGAAAACUAGUGGUACCAGAUAUGAUCCACACUUUCAUAAGCAAAUAACCAAUAUACCCACCGCGUUAUCUUCUUUCUCCAUCACCCAUAUCUCUCUCUCUCUCUCUCUCUCUCUNNNNNNNNNNNNNNNNNNNNCUCUCUACUCAGUACUCACCAUCAUCGCUGCCCCUCCUCCUCCACUGCCUCACUGUCGCCGCCGCAACAAUUGACGGUUCCCCUCAUCCGCGCCACACCAUCGCCGUCCUCUUCCUUCGUUGGUCGCCACGUCAGAAUCAACAGUAGUAGAAUCGCGUCUUCCUCCUAUCCAAGCUUGAUCACAUCACCUCUGUCCUUUGACGCUCGUCAAAGAGGCACGCCGCACGACGAUGCUCGACGACUACGACGCCCAGAUCGCAUCACUUCAGUCCUCCGAUGUCGGAUCUCAUACAACGUCAAGCUCUUAGAUCUGGUUAUGCAAACUGAUGUGAUCUGGUCGUCAUAUUCAUAUCCUAGCACCUUGUCAUGAUUUGGUUUGAAUUUGAAGCAUUGCAUAUGUUGGAGCAAACCUUGAUGCAUGGAUUUGAUCUUCAAUUUAUAUGAGAUGUUCAUGGAUUUGAUCUUCAGUUGGUAUGAGAUGCAUGGUGUCACCGUCUCUCAUUUGUCUCACUCAGUAGCAGUGAUAUAAAUGAGGUUGAAUGGUUUGGGUUUUGGUUGAUUAGUAGGUGAUGCCAUAUAUGAAUGAGGUUUGUUGUGAGAACAUGAAUGAGAUCUGUUUAUUUGAAUGAGGUUUGCUUAUCAAGUUAAACCAUUACUUGUUGUGGUAGAUGUAGUUUUAAAGUUCAUUAGUAGUGAUACGUACAGUAGCAGCAACGUUAUCAUCAGAGUCGGCUCGGCAGUAGUAGCGCUAGCAUCAAAGUUGGUAGUAGCAGCGCUCUAGCAUUAGAGUCGACAGUAGCAGCUUUGUUUGAUUUCAGAGAAUUGCCUGAAAAAAUUACAAUAACUCCUUUUUAUCGGGUGCUACUGUGCUACGUGGCAGUAGCACCCAAUGUGCUAUGUGCUAUGUGCUACUGUGCUUCUCAGUAGUGUGCUAUUGUGCUACUUGGCAGUAGCACCCAAUAUGCUAUUGUGCUACUCGGCAGUGUGCUACUGUGCUACAAGUCGAUAGUAGCAGUUGAUAUGUAAUGAAGGGUAUUCUGGUAAAAUUGUAGUGACAGAUGGCAUGUGAGUAUUAGUUUGUCAUAAUUUGUUAAUAUUUGUCUUUAAAUGUGUAAGAUAUUGUGUAAAAGAUGUAUUUGUAAACUGAAAUUUGGUUAAUAACUUUAUAGUAAUUUGCUAAAUUAAAAAAAGUGGGAGAAAAAAUAAUAUAAAAAUAAAUAAAAAUAAAAAAUGUCAUCUAGUAUUAUCUAUAGCCACGAGAAAGAAUGGGUGAAUUCGACUAUACAAGUCGCACAAGAGCAGCAAUGUUGGAAUUCUCAGUUGGUCUUCAAUCAUCUAUUGUUCACCUUUGUCUUCUUCUUCUCAGUUCUAACUUCAAACUCGAAUGACUAACUGGAUUCUUCACCUUCAUUUCUAUAAUGGGUGGGAGUCCUCUUCUACUCACGAUCAUGAUCACCCUUUCUGCUUUCUUCUCAGGUAAUGAAUCCACCCUCAUCUCCUCCAUCUCUGUUUCUUACUGAUCGAACAAACUGGUAUUUACUUCUUGGUUUCUUCAGAAACAGAGUCGACAUCUUUCGAGAUUGUGAACAACUGCAACUACACAAUCUGGCCCGGACUUCGCUCCACCGGCUCAUCACUAAACCUGUCCACCACCGGCUUCACGCUCAGGAGCGGCGCGUCCUUCAACCUCUCCGUCCCCAAAUCCUGGACAGGUCAGGUGUGGGGACGGACACUCUGCAACGAAUCCUCCACCGGAAACUUCUCCUGUUUCACCGCCGACUGCGGCACCGGAAAAGUCGAGUGCGACGGAAAUGGCGCCAUCCCGCCUGCUACUUUUGCUGAAUUCGAACUCAACAACUUCGGCUCCGGCGUGGACUACUAUGACGUCAGCCUGGUCACUGGGUUCAACCUCCCGAUGGUGGUGGAGCCUCGCGGAGCAGGCAGCAACCACUGCAUCUCUUCUGGAUGCUCGGCCGACUUGAACGGCGAUUGUCCCAAGGAGCUGAGGGUGGCGCGUGAGGGGAGCCAAGGGACCGUGGCGUGCAUGACGCCGUGCACGGCGUUCAAUAAUUCGCGGUUUUGUUGUACCGGGGAGUAUAGUACACCCGCCUCGUGUUCUGGGACCGUAUAUACCGAUUAUUUCAAACAAAGAUGCCCAAAGGCGUACACGUAUGCGUUUGAUUUGACGCCUUAUGCCAACCAGACUACGUUUACGUACAGCUGUGCGACAGCUAACUACAGCGUUGUUUUCUGCCCUAUCAGGUACCUAGCUAGUUCAUAAUAUAUUGUCAAAUUUGUCGUUGUUGAACCACUGCAAGUUACUUAGCGGUCAACCCGAGUUCGAUUUCAGAGUGUUGUUAAAGUGGUUAGAAGCUGAAAUGUAUAGUUGGAGCGCUGAGAGAUUAGUCGAUUCUUCGUAUUAUAACAUGUCGAAACGUUGGGCAAGAAGUCGAGAGCCAAUAUGAUGUUUUUGACGAAUGUGGUAGUGAUGAGACAACAAUGUGAAAGUGCAAGGGGUUAUUAGUAGUUUUCUGGGAGUUCUCUGGUUACAGUGUGGGUCUAUAUUAUGUAGAACAGUAGAAUUAGUAGUACUUACAACUUACACGUAGAAAUCUUCCAUGAUACAAAUGCAGGUUAGUAAGAAAGACUAACCAUCAAGCUUCUUUAUGUCAGUUUACCAGCUGAAACACAAGCAGAAACACCAGCCAAAGAACCAACUGUAUCCGAACAGGUUCCUUCGAAAAGUAAAAACCACACAAUCAUGAUUGCCUCUAUAGCGUCAAGUGCUGGGAUUAUCAUCUUCAUAUUAGCGGUGGUAGCAGGCCUAUGGAGCAGUAGAAGGAAGAGACAACAAGGUUAGCAAAAUGAAUACUUAGGCGGACUUUGAAUGCAGGAUUUUCAAUUUUUUAGCUAGUCAUUUUUGUGAUGAUUACUCUGGCUUUUGGUGUAGNNNNNNNNNNNNNNNNNNNNUACNGGAAACAUUUUGACUUGGAAGGAGAGACUUCAUAUCGCAGUGGAUGCAGCACAAGGUAUACAAUAGCUGAGAUAUAAGAACAAUAUAUAUGUGAAAUGGAUUGUUCCUUUGGUCUUCCUAUAUAUUUCCUAAAUCAUGAUUGAGUUGCAAUAUGAUGUACAUUAGUACCUGACAUCGAUUAGGCUUUUAAAAGGCAGAUAAUAUUUUGCAGGACUGGAUUAUCUACAUAAUGGUUGCAAGCCUCCCAUAAUCCACAGAGAUAUAAAGACCUCCAAUAUAUUGUUAACUGAAAAGAUGCAAGCCAAGAUAUGUGAUUUUGGUGUUUCCAAACUUCUUUCAACUGAAACCGCCACUCAUACCAUGACAGAUCACGUCAGAGGAACUAGAGGAUACUUUGAUCCUGAGUAAGUUAGUAAAGACAUACAUAAGUUACUUAGCAUUACUGAAAGAUAAAUUGCUGAUAGAUAAGCAUAACUUACAUUCUUCGGUUUUCUUCUUUUCAUGUCAUUAUGUUCAGAUACUACACCACAGGAAAGCUGAACAAAAAGAGUGAUAUAUACAGCUUUGGUAUUGUGUUGCUAGAACUAAUCACGGGCAGAACAGCAAUAAUAGAAGAUGUAGAACCCGAACCUGUUCACAUAUGUCAAUGGGUGAGGCCUAUGUUUCAGAGAAGAGAUAUUGAAAGUAUAUUGGAUUCAAGGAUACAAGCAGGGACUUACAACGUUUCCUCUGCUUGGAAGGCGGUAGAAAUCGCCAUGGAAUGUGUGUCAUCAACAGCUUUCGAAAGACCAGAUAUCAAUGUUGUGUAUAAGGAACUGAAGGAAUGUUUUGAAAUUGAGGUUCCACCUGAAAUAGCAAAGGUUCCAGAGGUUGAUGAAGAGAGUGAUGAUUGCAGUACUAAUUCAAGUGUUUCUUUUCACAUGGCGUCCCACGCUGAGUCUGAAAGCUUCUUAGUUCAUAUGAAGUCACACAUUGAGUCUGAAACUGAAAGGCAUACGUGUUAGUUAUUAUUUUGUUUUGAAAUCAACAUGUUAGUUAUUCUUGCACUGUUAAAACAAGAUUGGAAUUAUACGGGGGCGGAAACUAAUUGGACUAUUUCUACAAAUCUAGUAGAACAUUGCUCCGAUUUAAACUGUUCGUGGGUUCCUGGAUUGCAAGAGUAUAUUAUUACCUCUGGUGGAUCCAGAAGUAUGUCUUAAAUUAAGUUCUUGCAACUGAAGUGGCACUCGUAUUUCAACUUAUGCAAAGGAACAUUUUGGGUACCUUGAUGCUGUAAACUGCAGGUUAUAAAAACUGAUGAAGAUUUUCAACGUUCGCGAUUAUUUCAGGAUCAAUGACUUCUGAUAAACAGUUGCACAGAUCAAUGAGAGCGUUGUUGAUACGAGUUCGAGCAGCUCAGCUCGUGGAAGAAAGAGCUGCAACACAAAAAUGCUAGAUAGAUAAUUCAUUGUCAAAAGUUUGGUAAUCGAUUAAUUCAUAGUGGGUCGUCCAUCUAUGUAAUGCAACUAGAUAUUGAAAAGGCUUCCAUAGUUUGAAGAAAGUAGUCGUUCAGAAAUCAGAAGUAACAAAUACUGGAGACAACAGAACAAUAACAGGCAGCAGUAAAACCUCUGGUUUUCAAUAACACGGUUGAACUUUUCAAUACAUCUAUCCGCAGAAAAUGAACCCAGAAAGACUGUUAGGCACAUGAACUAGAUUCCCUAAAUAUUACAAAUGUCAUGAAUUACAUCCCUGCCAACAUUUCCAGUAAAAUUUACAUCAAGCAUAGAGGCACAAUUCUGGUCAGGUCUCAGGAAAUUGGCUUUCUUUCAUUUGAUUAUCUAGAUGAUGAUUAGAACCCAAAUUAAGAAUGAUAGAUUAGGGAUGCACGUUUUGUGAGAUUGUAAGCCUCGAAGCCAUCACCUACCUUGCACACCGGCAGGAGAUCGACCACCUCUCUCACUGCCAAUAUCAUCUUCUACUCCACUCACGUCUAAACAAAGGCCAUUGUUGUUUACACUGACUUCAGAGCUAGCAUUACUGCUGGUGGCAAGAGGAGAAUCUGAAACACUAACCGUUCUGCUUCGUGCAGGCCCUGAUCUCACACUGUACAUAGAGGAUGCAGGAAUAUUUGUCAUCAACGGCCGCAAAUUACCAGGAAUGGUUCGCCUUAUAUCCUGCAAUCAAAAGUUAAAUCAAAUAUUAAUAUUACUGGGUUUCAACUGAUUCUGGGAUGGACAUCAAAUCAUAAACAGGAAAAGAAUGAUUACCAUGUGACGUAUAGCCAUAUCAAGGGAUUUCUUUGAGAGUGUUCUACCAAAGCCUGAACUGUCUGGGGAUGAAGAUGACUUCCCAGAGUUACCAUGAGGUGAUUGUUUGUCAUCAUGCUUGGGGGGAGCCAGUUUCCGCAUAUUUAUUACCCUCUCAACCAUUUUUGUUCCCAUUAAAACAGGGCUCACAUUGUCAUUAACUUUAGAACGCCCACGACUGAAUGCAGGAACAGAGCUCCCACUAAUAUGAGUACUGCCAUUGGGAGCCCUUCCUCUUGAAGGAGAGCAUGAUUGCCGUCUUGGUCUUCCAGGAGGACUGGGCUCAAUGGAAGAAGAUCUAGAGCUGGGUGCUCCAGGUCUACCUCUAGAAGCUGAAAGUGGUCUAUCAGGAAGUGUUGUCCUUAGAUUUGGUGGAGCGUCCAUUGAGAAUCCAGGCAUUUCCGAGGGCUUCCAUGGUCUAGAUUUCACAGUCGGGGAUGCGCCACGUGAUGGCACCGGAUUUCUUGUUGCUGCAGGUACUGGCUUUGAAACUGAAGGAGAGGGCUUUGAUGUAGGAGCUGACAUACUAGGUGAAUUGGAUGGCAUGGACGGUUGACGAGUUGGUGUUGAUGCUCUAGAUACAGAUUUCGGUGGGGGCACGGUGGACCUGCCAGUUGGUGUUGACGAUCUUGCUGUAGACCUUGACGGUGUAGAGGAUCUUGAGGGAAUUGUAGAUUUAGUUGCCGGAACUGUGGAUUUGGUUCCAGGGAUUGUGGAUUUAGUUGUAGAAACUGUGGGCUUAGCUGCCGAAACUGUGGACUUGGUUAAUGAUGCUCGAGAAGUAGGUGUUGAAGAUCUUGAAGGUUUAGGAGCUGAAGUCACUGUGGGGCGUCCAGUUGGUGUGGCAGGUCUUGAUCCUGGACCCCCAGAUGAUGAGGGCCUCCGGAUACCAGAACUUGAAGAAUUCAACCCGGGGGAAGAAGCUGAUUGUUUAGACACUAAGUUGCUCCUAGCACCAGGCUCUGGCUGGGGGUUUGCUAGCUAUGACCACAAGUAAGAAAUGACUUAGCAACAAUAGAUGAAUCUUGAGCACAACUAUAACUAAAAAAACCUAAACUGAAAAUUACCGUGAAAUCCACAAUUACUUCAGACAUAAUAUUGUUAUUUCAAGAGAUUUCAACAUUUUUAGCUAAACAGUAGCAAAACCUUCUCAAAUCAAGUAAAAUUUUCAAACGCAAUUUAUAAGCUGAGCAAUGUGAUUGCAGCUUGGGCAGAUGCGAAAGAGUUCAAUAGUUCAGACACUCAUGUAACCGCCAAUCAGGCUUUGCAAUGAACAAGUUUUGACCUUUUCUGCUUCCUAUUGCAUAUUUUUUAGGAUUAAUAAAUGCCAAGCGUAUUAAUUACUUGAAAGUUAAAAAGGAGAGUCAAAACCAAAUCCAUAUGAAACGGCUACUCCUAUCACAUAGAGAUGCAUAUACUCCAACCACUCCAGAUUAAGAAUUACUACCCAGCUCAUAAUAAGGAAGUGCUUACUCUAGAUUUGAGUGCAGUUGGACGAGCCUUUGGAGUUCCAAGCUGACUCAUCAUGGUCUUAUGUGAUUCCAUUUCCAAUGAAGGGAAAAGAGGAGUCCCAGGCGGAGUUAAAAGCCUGCAGCAAGGGGGGAAAAAUCAUAUAAUGAUCUCAGUUAAAGCAGAACAUAAUAUAUAAUAAGACCCAACUUCAAAAGCCAAUUGCCACCUCUGCUAAAGUCUGAUCCUAAUAUGCUCUUAAGAACAAAAUAACACAUGUUUCCAUGAACUGUGGACAGCAUUCCUUUCUCAGGAGUUCAUAUCCCCAGCACUAGCAUACUUAUGGAAAUUUAAGCAGUGGUAAAGAUAUAUGGUCUGAGAGGCAAAACAAAAGGAAAGGCCAGCACGUUUUAGCCACCUUGAAAAUCACCGACACCCACUUUAAGCAUGUAACAUCUAUAAAAAGUUGGACCUUGUCUAGAAAAUUUAGAAUCCAAACUAUUUCAAACGGCAGACAGAAUUGGGGCACAACUCCAAUAAUUGAUAUCGUAAGCCUCCGGUAAACACUACAUACUAUGCAUAGACAUAUCAGAAUCGUAAUCACAUAAACAACCUCAUAUAUGAAACUUAAAUAGCCUGCCAAUAUUCUCACUCUGAACCAAAAAAUUACUCAUAGUAGCUCCCCUAUUAUCUAUCAAAACCCUCUCAGCUAAAAAACAACUUUUACAGAGAAAAUGUAAUCUAUACUACCACAUUACCAAUCAUAGUCAUUCUUAUCAUUCUCCGAAUUGAGAAACUCAUCAGUUCCACUCUUGCGUGUGGGGGGCGCCGGCGUCGAUGAGGAUAUAUUAAAAAUGGGAGAAGUUCCGGGUUUUGCCCCUGCAAAUGUCGAAACAACCACACUAUUCAACCCACAUUUCCAAAACAAUUCAAGCCAAGUAUAACACCAAUACAGCACCAGUUCAAGAACUAAAUUUGAAAUCCUACAUUUCACUCCGAAAUCCAAAAAAAUUAAGAAUUCAAAUGUACCUAAAGGCGCAUCGAACUCUUCAGAAGUGUUGAGAAGAAGAUCGUUCCUCUCCUUCUCCCUCUUCUUCAUCUCUAGAAACAACGCCAGCUCUUCUUCCUUCUCCUUCCUCAUCGAGGCCCUGAGCUGCUGCCUCUGCUUCAUCACCGCCUGCAUUUGCGACUCCUGAGCCCUAAAACUCCGAUUCAUAUCUCCGACGACCAAAACUCCACCAAAUCCAACAAUAAAUAACUAAAUAAAAACUUAAACAAAUCCUAAACCCUAACACCUAAUCUCCAACCACCGCUCCACCAAUAACAAUCCCUCUCAAACCAAAACGUCCUCUCGCCGUUACCGAAAACCCUAAGCACCGAAUCUCACCGGCGUUAGAUCUGAAACCUGAGCCAAUCAAACUCGCCGGCGACGAAUUGGCGAGCUCGCUUCACUAUCUUCCAAUGGCUUAAGCUGAGAGAGGUUAGGGUUUGGAGAGUGCUCAGCUGUAACGGACAGCCAUUGUUGACGAACGAAGCUCAGUUUUGCUGGAGGUCGAAGACGAUGGAGGCUGAGCUCGGAGGAUGUGACGUCAUUGGUGCGAAGCUGAGCUUGAAGUUGACAGAGAAGAAGAAGCGGAGGUUGGAAGAUCGGAGAUUUCAGAGAGUAGAGUGAGGGGGGAAGAGGAGGAGUGGCAGUGAGUGGUAAAUAAGUGGGGAUUUGGGGUGUGAAAUUGGGAAAGUGAUAUGAAGGUGCAGGGUAGAGGUCGGGUCGUUUCUCUCACUUAAAGCCAACGUUUUCAGGUUGGGGGUUUUGGUGGGUGGAUAAUCACGAUAUUGCCCUCUUUUUUAAUUUAUUUCCUUUUUGUUUUUUGAAUUUUGAAAAGAGUGUAUUUGCAUUUCAGCCCCUGUAUUCUUGUGUAUUUUUCUGUAGAGGGCUUCAAAGAUUUUCUUCCACCAUAUGUUUUUUUUUUCCCUUUUUUACCAAGAAAAUCUUUAAAAAAAAACUUUUAUAAACAAACUAUUACAGAUGACAAGAAAUCAAAAACCGAAAGGGUUCAACGAAAGUUUUCACAUUUGAAGCUUUCACAUGCCAAAACACAUUCAUAGAAAACAUCAUUUAUUUUCGUAUGUGUGAAACUCAUUGUAAAAGUGUGUUAGCUUUCUUGUUGUCUCUUGCUCCAUUUAAGUAAGGGUUGUAAAAUUUACAUACCCGAAAUUGAAAUCCACACACAUUUUUUUUUUUGGUAACUUAAAUUUUAUUUUUUAGUGACUUAAACUUUGUCUUUUUGUGAUUGUGUUAACUAAAAAAAAAAAAAGAUACGUGAAUUUAAAUUUGAGGUGUGUGGAUUUCAUAUCCCUAGUAGUUGGUCAGUUUUGUUCGAUUUUCUUUAUUAAGACAUAUAGCCCACAGUUUUAACUAAAACAAUGAGCGACAUAAACGUUUCGGCAAAAGGCAUUUUUAUUUCUUUUUUCCUAUUAGCCCAAAAUAAUCAAAACAAACUGAAACCCGGAGCCGGUCAGAUCAGUAGACUAGAGACUAACGAGAGAGGGUCGCACGAUUGGUAUCAUGCUACAGCACGACGUCGUUUUAUAGCUAAAACCUCAUCGCCGAUGCAGAAGAACCACACCUCGAGCUGAGAUUCGGAAAUUCUUCAGAAAUGGCAGGGAAGAUGAAGAGGAGCGAGGCCAGCAGUAGCAGCCGGAGCAGCAACAGUAACCACCACAGAGCCGAAAGCGUGGUCGUCGAUUACGGCAAGAACAAAAGCACCUGCGGCUAUUGCAGAUCCAAAGCUCGCACCAGUAUCUCUCACGGUUCGUCCCUCCACUCAUCGAAGUUUCCAGUUCGUUUUCGCUUCGCAAUUUGGUUGAUUGCUGAUUAUAACCGUUUUCAAUAGUUGCGAAAGAAUUAUGAAUCGAAAUUAGUUAUAAAAUUGUGCAAUUAGUUACAGAAUUGCGCAGUUUGAUUGCUGAUCGGUGUUUAAAUCGUUGAAUUUUUGGUUUUGGCAGGUUUGUGGGCACAUAGCGUUACGAUUAAUGACUAUCAAGGUUGGUUUUGUUGGCAUGUUUUUGUGUUAGUGUAGCGGUGUAGAUUAUGAAAGAGUGUUAUGAUACAAGUUUAAUCUUUUAUUUUUUAUUUUUUUUUGGCUGUUGUUUUGAUGUUUGCUAGAUCUUCUUGACCGGGGAUGGAGAAGAUCUGGUUGUUUUCUUUACAAGCCGGAGAUGGAAAGAACGUGCUGCCCUGCGUAUACUAUUCGUUUGAAAGCUGGUGAUUUUGUUCAUUCGAAGGAGCAGCUUCGGGUGUCUAGAAGAAUGCAGAGGUAUGUUGAGCCUGUUUUCGGUGAGUUUAAUAUGAUGCAUUAGUUGCUUAACUGAUUCGAAGGUUAGAAUCUUAUAAUUUUGUACCUUGUAUAAAGAAAAUGUGAGAUGAUGCAAAGUUACUAGCUUUUGAGUGGUUAUCUUAUAGUUAUUACAACUACUUUCAAGUUUCAGUGAGAUCAAUUCCCUGUCGUUGAAUACCAUAUUAAGUUACAGGAAGACAUGUAUAUCUUCUAAAAUAAACUUUUUGGUUUUCUAUCCCUAGGUUUUUAGAUGGUGCCUUGGAAUGUAAACAGCCAGUGGAGCCAAAUGCUUCCAAGGAUACACAUGGCCAGAACCACCUUGGAGUUUCAAUCUCAGCUCCCAAAAACAGUGGAGAGAAAGAUGGGGAAGAAAAAAUUUUGAAUUACUUAUCAGAUCAAGUUGAUAAGGCAGUUCAUUCAUGCUUAGACAGUGGGGAGUUUCGUGCCAUUCAAUGUCCAAAAGCUUCUGUUAAAAAGGUUUUACAAGCCAAAAGAAAGCUAUUAGCUGCUGGGUCUGAAGAUCUCUUAUACUCCAGCAAUAUUGCAUUUCAACUAGCGGCUGCUAUGAGACAGUGUGUAACGGAUAAGAAGGAAGCCCACCAGGGGAGAGAAUUGGGACACAUUGCAGAGGAAAAUGGGUCGUCUCCAAAACUCAUUGCUGAAAAGCUAGAAAGUUCAUUAAAUCAGUUGGGGAACACUUCUGGUCUAUCAGUAAGGGCCUGCAACGGACACUUAAACUUUUAUUCUGUCACAAAACCUGCUUCAUCAGAUGGAAGUGCUCAUGUUGUUAGCAACUUCAAAGGCACUGCCAGGUCAGAAAGUAAAGGCAGCAGUUUGAAAAAUAACUCUGAAUAUACUCAGGUGAAGAGGCGGAGGCUUGAGAUUCGUCUUAAAAGGGCCAGCUUUGAUUCAGAAGAGUAUGCCUUAUAUAAAAGAUAUCAAAUGAUGGUGCACAAUGAUACCCCUGACCAUGUUACAGAAGCCUCAUAUAAGAAGUUCUUAGUUGAUACUCCCUUAAUAUAUGUUCCCCCAACUAAUGAUGGUACAGUUCCCCCAUGCGGCUUUGGCUCUUUCCAUCAGCAAUAUGUAAUUGAUGGCAAACUUGUUGCAGUUGGUGUUAUAGACAUUCUCCCUAAAUGUUUGUCCAGUAAAUAUUUAUUCUGGGACCCAGACUUUGCGUUCCUUUCACUAGGGAAGUAUUCAGCCCUGCAAGAAAUAAAUUGGGUGAAAGAGAAUCAACUCCAUUGUCCUACUCUUCAAUAUUAUUAUCUUGGUUACUACAUCCACUCCUGCAGUAAGAUGAGAUAUAAGGCAGCGUAUCGCCCGUCUGAGCUACUGUGUCCUCUUCGUUACCGGUAAGUGUCACUUUGCAUCUAAGUUUGAUUUUGAAAGCCUCUUAUUACCUUGGUUUGAGGUGGCUUUAUCAGAAGCCAUUCCAUUUCAAUUUUUGUCAGUUCUCUAUCAAUAUUUCUGAUAAAUAUAUAGGUUGAUCUGAUCAGCUUCAGUUUUGCUAGUACUCUGACAUUAAAAGUUUUUGUGGCUGACAAGCUGGAAUUUUUAUCCAGGUGGGUUCCUUUUGAUAUAUCCAAGCAUUUGCUUGACAGAAACAAGUAUGCUGUUUUAUCGGAUUGUACCGUCUCACAAGAUAGGGACUCCUCAUCACUUCAUGCUUCUGAAGAUGUCAUGGAAAUACAAUACGAUGACAAUGACCAAGACAGUGAGUUUAUGUAUGAUGAAGGGAUGAUUGAGCCUGAAUUUGAAAGCUCUGACAAUGAACCACAUCUGGCAUAUGAAAAUAAAGAUGCUGGUAAUGUUUUAAUCGGGUUGAAGGAAUCUCGGGUGAGAUUCAAGGUAUGUAUCCUCAAACUAUCCUAUUCAGUAUCAUACUAUGUGUCAAAGCUUCAGAUCCUUCAUUUCAAUCUACUUAAAUCUCCCCUCAAAAUCAACCCCUUUCAGUUUCUUGACUUUGUGGUUUCAUUUACUGACAUUGGGUUUUUUCUGCUGGAGGAUAUAAAGCAAGCUUUUGGUCCCACGGAACGAAGUUACUUGGAAUCCCAGUUGAGUAGAUACACAGAAGUUGUAGGUGAAGAGCUCGCUGGACGAAUGGUUUAUUCAAUCGAUUGAUUUGCCUUUGACAGCAUUCAUCAGAAAAUGAAAGAUUUAUGAAUUGCAAUUGGAAGUGAAUAUCGUGGCCUAUCCCCAAGUCACUAUCCGAUCAUUUUAGCCGGGGAUAGAAGUAAGAGCUAGCAUACACAUUCCUGACACCCAGAUUCAUCUUGCAGUUUGAUUGUUUCUUGAUGUUCAAGUUUCUGUUCCAACUGAUUCGGUAUCUGGUUGAAAAUUACAUAUUUGCUAGGUACAUGAUAGUUUUUGUAAAUUUGUCAGAGUUGUUAAAAUAGAGUUGCUUUGUUGUUGCGACAAAUUAUUCAUCAUUUGCAGAAAGCCGACUCCUUGACUCUUCUUACAUUUCAAAAUUUUCUCAUGUGUCUAUCUCUUUCAUAACAAUUGAAGUCGGGUGACUAUAGACACCAGUUAUCUGUUGAAAGAAUUGGACCUGCUACCUAAGUUGGUCUCUUUCAGAAAUUUUAUAGCAACUGGGUCAUAAUUGAUCAUUGUAUAUUACUAAAUUAGAGUGUAAACGACAAACCAAAAGGAAAAAUGAAGAAAAGAAUAUAAAGGAGAAAAUGGUGGGUGGUUCUCCUUUUUUUGUUCUUUUUUGUUUUUAACACAAAAAGUGGUAAAUUGAUUUUCAGGGUGGGUCCCGUUGGGUUUCGACACUUUGAUGUUUGAUGUCAUCAAAUUGUAUUUCCCGCCAGAUUUUAUGGAAUAAUUUUCAGAAUUAAGGCUUGUUUUAUUUUUUUCCCUUGGUUUUUAACAUUUGAUGUAUGAAACUCCAGGGACUGAGACGGGCCAAAAACAAAAGGCCCUUAGGAAGGCAGCAACACCCAUCAAAUUCAGAAGACAAACAUUAAGAACAGUGAUGAUCAAAGUUGAACACAAACUGAAUCACAAUUAACAAUCAAAUGUUGAACAAUGAUGUUAUCGAAGGCAAAUGCAGAGAAUUUACCGAAAAUGACAGAUUCGACUGUUUGAUAUUUUACAUGAUUGACAAAGAACAAUGAGAUUUGGAGAAUGUACAGUUGAAUAUGGAAGUCUUGAGUGUUAAUCAAGCGUCAUCUGCAUCGCUGCUGCCGAUAUGCCCUCCAUGACUGACCCAAUAAUUGUUUCCUUCCGGACCAGAUAUCUUCACCCUGCUCAAGCACGAAACUCAUAACCUAUUCUACGAAAUCAAAUUAGAUUAGAAAUCAAAAGUUUCAUCCUCCACUAGUCUACUGGUUACUGACCGCUCAAGGACGGAUUUUCCUUCCUUGUACUUCUGGCUCUUGUCAUGAGCAGUCUCCUAAAAGAACCCAUCAAAAGUUCAAAAUAAAUAACAGAGGAGAAGAAAUGUACACAAGUCAUGAUUCAUGCUUUCUAGUCUUACAUAUUUCCACCCCACUAUUGAUCCACACCCAACACAGAAUAUGUCAGCGACUGUGUGCAGCCCUGUCAUCAUCGCUCUCUCUUCAGUCUCCCCACAAGUUACAUUCACUCUGUAAACAUGAAUGGAGAUGAUAAUCACAUAUCUAAAAGCAACCAAGUGCAAGCAGAUAACUGACUAAUAGUUUUUGAGUGAGUGAUGCUGUUUUUGCUCCCACUGAUUAUAGUAGAUUAUCCUAUAUCUGAUUCUUAUAAGAACCGACUCCAGCUACCCCAUAUAUUAAUUCACAUCUCUGCUGUGUUUACAUAACUUAACAGACUAAAAUGACAAAUAAGACAAUGAGACCAAUGCUUGAGGCUAUUUGGUGUCACCAUCACACACGGAAAAGGCUCCCAAAAGAUCAGGAAAAACUUACACUUUACCGAAGAGAUAAGCCUUCCCAUGCCUGCUCUGGAAAGACUGAAUGAAACACAAGCAAAACAUGUCGUCAGAACAUGUGUUUCUACUGAAACUAAACUACCAAGAAACAUUUCUUGGACACUUUAAGAGAAAAGUUCACUAUCAAUGACACAACUGCAUCAAAGAAGAAUCUAAACAGGCCUUACUAGUUCUGAAUUAAUAUCAAAGUAUAAGCUAAUAAUCACCAUUAGUUAACUAAAUAUUAAAUAUGGCAGAGUUACACCACUUCUGAUUUGAAUGUACUUAAGAGCCAUAUCAGACUACAGAAGUACACCCAUUCAUGAAAAAAAUGGUCCAAUAACUAGUUGUGUUCAUUUUUUAUUCCGUCUGAAUCUAGACGUGUUGAUUGGACAGAACUACUUUCAAACUAUCAACAUGCCAGAACCAAACACUAUGAGCUUCUUGCUAGGAAGCUUGAGAAGCUAACUAGACCUGUAGAACUGAUAACACACUCGAAAGAAACAAAUCAUCAAAAUAUGGUAGUUUCAUGCUACUUGAUCACAGCCUUUAAAUAUGCCUAAUACACAACUGCAAACACCAUUUCACAUAUGACAUAUGACAUAUUACAUAGUACUGUGAAAUAUCCCAAGUUUUUAACAACGCUAUCUCAUAAGCCAUCAAGCCCUUUCUCAGUAAAGAAUGGUUGAGGAUUCUCUAAUUUCUCCCUGCUAUCCUCUUCAGUAAGACCAUAUUCAAGUUCUUUGCGAAAUCCAACCCCAAAGAAAGAUAAGUAAAUGCAGCAUUAUGGUGGCAGUGAAUUUAAACUCCAUGGACGAUAUAGGAUCCCAAUACAUUUUAGACAUCUAGAUUUGACCAAAACACAACUCGACCAUGAACUAAUAUGCAAAACAAAAUCACUCAUCUAGCACCUAGAUUCUAGUCAUUCCACACAAACUUGAAGAGAAUAAGCAAACUUAUAAAAGCAUUUAAGCUCCUACCAACCAUCUAAGCACCAUCAGAGACCACAUGGGAAUCAACUACCACUCUAAUAAAGAUUAACCUUCUAUCAAGUUGGAAAACCAAAAAUACAAAAGCUUGCAAAAGAACAUUGAUCUGCAAUCACAAAAGCAGAUUAACUGAUCCAUUUGAUCCAUAAUUCCAGAAAACUAACAGCAUGUAUAUAAUCCAACUAGAAAACCAAAACCAAACACAGAUCAUCAAUACCCAACUCAAAUUUCAAGAGAUUAUCACAGAAAGAUGAACAAAAAAGAUUGAGUCUUUGAUUGAUCAAAACAACCUUGGAAACUAUGUCUUCACUCAGAGCAAGAUGGGUCCGGCAGUGCUUGCAGCUAUAGAUCUUCCCCUCAAGACUCAGCACAAACAGCCUUCCCAUACCUCCACUCUCAACCCAAAAAAGCUAAAUACUUUGGAGCCAAGAUGAAGAUUCAGACAAAGGGUCGUCGUUAAAAUCCAAGAAAACCCAAAACAGAUGGAUAUUAUUUCUGUACUUGUCAAUAAAGAGAUGGGAGCAAUAUCAUGAAGAAGAUGAAUCUGGUGGGGAACAAGAAAUGGAGAAAAACAAAGGGAAUAGAGAAUUAGUGUCUUUAUUAUUACCUUUGAUUUUUCUGUUAGUUCUGGUAUUGGAGUCUGCAGUUGCAAGAAAUGUGGACCGAGAAGCAAUCGCAUUUAGUAAGUAUAUCACUUUCUCUAUGUUAAAAGGUGGAACCUGACAAGACGUGUAUACUACGGUAUUUUUUGCCAAUUUUACUCACUUUUUAAAAUCUUUCGAUCAAGUUUGUCUUCCAAGUUCCUAGUUUAUACUUGUAUGCAUAUACCCAAUGUUCACUUCUGAUCUCCAGAGAUUUUGGUGUUGGAUUGAACAAUUAUAUCACCUCUUAUCGUGUCUUAAAUUUUAAUUUCAGCAUAUAAUUCUAAAUUAAAAUGUAAUAAAAGUGAAAUUCACACACCUUAAUUUGUAACUCGUUUUUUUUUUCUUUAGCUCUCAUAAAAAGAUAAAAUUUAAGCUAGUAAAGAUAAAAUUUAUGUUACCAAAACGUAGAGUAUGAAUUGUAAAAUGAGAAACGUGAAUUUCACACCCCAAAUUUUAUUGGUUUGAACUAUUUGAUGUUUAUCAACGAGAGCACCAUCUAAAAGUCAUAUUUUUAUUAAUGGCGAUUAUGAGUUGAGGUUUUGGACAACAAGAUUCAUAUGCUUAAUUAGAUGUAAAACUUGAUCUUUAUUUGUGUUUUCUGAAACAAUUCCUACCAUUUGCUUAUUACAAAUGGAAUUAUGUGCAUUUUGGUUAGGUGAUGCUUGUGGUAUAUGCUCACAGACCAACUGAAUGAGAUGCAUGUUGCCAUGUUUCCAAAGACGUCACUGAUCUUGAUGGGUUCCUUUGGAAACUGAUAUGCUCAAUUGCUCAUGAUUAUUUUUGAAGUUUUUAAUUUAUUUUGGUAAUGUAACAUCCAGCUCUUUUAAAAGAAGCUUGUGUAGACCUCUCAAAGUCUUUCUGGACAUGACAAAUUACAAUACGAUACCUACCCAAGAUUUGACCUGUACAUAGAGACUUUCUCAAUUGUACAUAAUUGAGUUUUCUAGCAAAAUUCCAAGGCUAGUGGAAGCAAAUUUGGACACCUUGUCCAUUAAACUAUCUGCUAUGAUUGGGAAGGAGGAGUGGGUGAGAUGAAUUCUAAAGAUGUUUUAGGCAAGCUAGCUCCCACUAAAUUUGCAAAGCAAUGUUAAAUUGAGAAAUGACCAAAUCCUAACAAAUUGUUUUACAUGUCUAUGACUGGAAUGAGCAUUAUUGGACUUGGAGGUGAUGGAGGGAAGUGUCUCGUCUCUUUCUGCAAAUUCCUCAACCUAUAAGUCCUCAAGUUCUUCAACCUAGCCAGCUAUUAGUCAAAUGCUCAUCCAUUUGGUAGUGUCAUUAUCUAAUUACAUAAUGUGCAUUAUUGUCCUGCUUCUUUUUCUCAACUGUGCAUAGAUUAUGAACUAAUUAAGGUGAAUAGUAUAGAUUAAGGCCAUAAGUAAUACAUAUACAUGGCAAGAAGCCAAGAACAUAAGUUGGCAAGACUGAUGAGUAAAUGUAGCAGUAUAUUACACAGAGAAACAUACACAUAGCAAUUGAUUAAGAAUGUGCAUAUACAAAAUGAGAUAUAUCUGUAUAAGUGAAGGACUUAGAUAAAGGGAGAGAAAUGAAUGAACUCAUAAGCUAGAUUGGUAAUGUGAAAUGGUUAUUUGUUAAAGGUAGCUAUAAAAGCGAUGGGUCCUUUUCCUGUCACAGCAGCUUGAAUACCAAAAAUCAGGAAAACUACCAUAGCCAGACGAGCAUGCUUGAUCUCAGCCAGUUGAAGUCUUUCCUUCUCUUCCGGAUCGGCGGCCAAACCCAACGGAUCAAAGAACUUGCCGCCGGGGUAUAGCCUCAUCUCGGGGUCGAGUUCUGCAUUCCUUUGGAACUCGAUGUACCCUAGAACCAGCACCUCGAUCCAUAUCAAGGUCGAAAUGGAAAAUGGAAGUGGAAGGCCGAGGUAGGAUGAUCCUUCAACCAGUUCAACCUACCAUGUUUGAAACAAAAUGAAACAACUUAACAUCUUACACACAAAAUUUCUACCAUACUAAUCCAUAUGAAGUGAGAACAAAUUAGAUUAAAUUGAAUUUGUCAUGGUCUGCCUAUCAUUUUCAUCACAUUCAUGAUCGUAGGGACGCCCUUAUAAGCUCAAGAGGGGUGAGGACCAUCAUGGAGUUGAUGUUUUCUUGUAUGGAUAACAAGAAGACACGAUGAUUUAAAAGCCGUGAUAGGUAUUUCAUCCCAUACACGUACAAGAUACAAGAUACGAUUCAUGUCACAUAAACCAGUUAUGGACAAAUUAAGGUUGAUUAUUCCUGCACACUGCUUCUUCGAUCAUCGCAAUUUUGUUAUCCUAUUUGCUACCGAAGGCUAUUCUCCCAGAUAUAUAUGUAAAAUGCUUUCAUUUUCAAUCUCGGAAGAUAUCAGAAAUUUGAACGUAUACUUUAGAUUUAUCCUACAAUUGAUGAGUAAUAUCUACAAACUAGUCAUUAGUGUGUAUGAAUUACAUGCAUGUGCAUAAAUUAAUAAUAUCAUGAGAAGGAAUGUUUAUCAGUUUAUAUCUAGAACAAAUAAACUUUGAUGUAAGAAAAAAAAAAUACCUUAGCAACAUUGGAUGCAUAGUGAAGCUCACAUAUACAAUUGCAUCUUUGAAUUAACCUAAUUUUAUCAAACAAAAUUAAGAUGCUUUGGAGUAAUAUUGCUAAAUAAGAAACGAUGAUUUCCAAUUCUUCAAAAAAUUAGAAACUUUUUACCAUGAAGCAAUUAACUUUUACGUUACCUUUCCGGCGUCUUGCCAUGCAACACCGGUGAGACCCUCAACAGCAAGAGCCCCAAGAGCUCCCAGCAUUGCCCACCUCCCAUGAAUCAGCUCGCACUCUCUGAACCUCUGCAGCCCAAAAACCUCCGUGUACGGCUGCAACGGAGUCGGGUUGAGAUCAGAAGCUUCGAUCCUGGUCCCGAUCACAUCACCAGCCAAGUUCUUGGCCAGGUUCUGGUCCAACCCGUCGUAGUCAUACUGCAAGUACUCCACCGGCUUCCCUAACCCCAAUGGAUCAAACCCGCGGUCCCCGACGUACGAACCGUCGAGCCAUUCGGGCGGUUGCGCGCCGGGGAACCACACGAGCCGGUCGGUAUCCGGCUUCUUGGGAGCCUUCUUUGGCGGUGGUGGCGGUGACUUCUUGCCGAAGCUAAAGAGAGCCUGGAACUUUCCAAAGCUAGGGCUAGGGUUUUGGAGUUGAGCUCCAAAGAAAUGUGAAGUGACGGCAGCUGUGGUGGUGGCCAUAGGCUGGUCUGAGCAGUGAGGUGUGGGUGGGACUGUUAAGUAGAGGGAGAGUGAGAUGGUUAAUUAUAUAUGUAAAAAGAGGGAAGAGGGUGAGGAAUAGAUUCUAAGAAAAGGAUGUGAGAGGUGAAUAUAUUGUGGACCUUACAAUGUUUGGCUUGCCUUAUCUGUUGGAUGCUUGCUUGAAACUUUUUUUUCUCCUCACAUUGCUUGAAGGGAUAUGAAAUGGUGGUGUGUGAUUCUGGAAGGGUACCUUGUAUGGUAAUUUGCAAUGUGGUUCCUUCUUAGGUCCUGUGUGAUUGUGGCAACGAUCAUAACCACGUAUGAAAUAUGAAUGCUUUGUUUCAUAUGCUUUGACAUUCGACAGAGAUAUUUCAUGUAAAUCUUUGUAGCACAAAAACUUCAUGUAUGAGCUCAAAAGUGUUAGCUAAGUUACUAUGAACUCUUAAUGUACAAUACACAAUCAAACUCCAAACUUGGAAGUUAGAAUGGAACGGAAAAAUAGGUAUACACACACUUGCUGUUAUAAUUAAGCAAAAGAAGAUGAGAAAAACAAGAGCUAGCUAGACUAGUUUCACUCGACUGACUCGAGUACAAUGCUGGUCAACAGUUCGAAAAGAUUGGCCCAACACCGAGUACGUCAACAACUGCGAUUAGCCCAAAUUCAAUUAAAUGGGCUUAGCUGCAUUCAUCUGUUAGUUUGAGAAGAAGAGAUGUCUUCAAUUAUCUGUCACCAGACCAAUCUAUUUCUUUGUAAGGUUGGUCGAACGACUUAGUAUUUAUUUUUAUAUUGAACAUUAAAGUCUCAAUUUCCACUGAACUGUGGCAAAAGUGUGUCUACGUGAAGAGGAUUAGAUUAGUCUACCCAUAUUGAGAUACCCUUAUAAAACUCAGUCUGAACACUAACUAGAUGAGUGUAUUACUAACUCACUACUGUAAUCGAGUGAGCAAACCCUAACGAAAAAUAAAUAGAAAGUCUCAACACUUUGAAUGUGUCUACUUUGUCACCCAAAAAAACAUUUUGGACUGUUGUUUUGCUGAGGACCAAUCAGAAGGCACUGUCUGAGGUGGGUGUAUGUAUGAAUGGCUUUGAUCCCCUACAUGGUCAACCACCUCAAUAGUUCCAAAAAGUCUCCAGGUGUCAUCUACUAUACCUUCCACAAAUAUCUCCUUUGCAUCUAUCCCCUCUAACCUGAUCACCUCCCACACAAAUGUCUUUACCUUUCUGCUUUGUCUUUAGCACCUUGCUUUAACUUGCUUUCCUCUACUCUCUUCUCUUCUGUUCUCUUCUCUUCUGCUUUCUUUUCUCUGCAAAACAAGAGGUAUGUGAUUCUUCUUCUAGGUUUUCAAUUUUGAAUAUUUGUUCUCUAGAAUUUACUAUUUUCUUGAGCUUUGACUAUGUGGAUGACUUGCCUGUACAAUUCAUUUCCUUUUUGUCAAUAUUGACCAUCUGGGUGCAUGAUCAAGUUGUUCUGUUUUGUUUUAUCUGGGUAUGAACUCUGUUUGACAAAAGUACAGAAAGUUUUAGUCUUUGAUCAAUAGUACUAGUAUAACUUGCUGGACUAAUUAUCACCAAUUGUUAGAGUUAAGGGUUAGAAUUUGAUGUUGAUAUAGGAUGUUUCUACAGCUUUGAUCACUCAUAUAAUCUGAUAAAGCCAAUGAUUAGGAUUUUGUCAAUUGUUACUAAAUAUAGCUCUUGUUGGACUUGGCAGUGAUUAAAUUGAAUUGUUUUGUGUUCAGCUAGUAAUUAAGAAACAACAAUGAAGGCUGCCAAAGGCAAAGGAACUGUGAAGAAGGAUAAGAAAGAAGUAUUGAAGCCCGUUGACGACAGGCAAUUCUUUGAACCCAAAUUUGACUUUAUGUUCAUAACUUUUUGGAGUGGAAGUUGGUGGUGUCAUUCUAUUUUUUUUCUUCAAUUCAGAAAGGUGGGAAAGCGAAAGUCAGUGGCUGAGGUUAACAAGAGCAGUGGGAAAUUGGCCAAGAACUCAAAAUCGGCCAAAAAGGACCCUAACAAACCAAAAAAGCCUGCUAGUGCUUUUUUUGUUUUUCUGUAAGUACUUCCGUAUUUAUUUGUUAGAUAACACGUCAUCUAUAGAGCCAUUAAUAAGAUGCUAGCUCUUUUAAAUGGUAAUGCAGUGAAGAGUUCAGAAUAACUUACAAGCAAGAGCACCCGAAUGUGAAAGCUGUGUCAGCUGUAAGCAGCUAUCUUACUUUGUUUACCAUUUAGCAGAAAGUGUUGUCAUUUGGUUUCUGGAGUUGGAUAUUGAUGUGAUUACUGGUGGUUGCUUUGACUGAAGGUGGGGAAAGCUGGAGGAGCAAAGUGGAAAUCUAUGUCUGCCGCGGUAAGUACUAUAUAAUAUCAUAUAGGAGUAACCUGAAAAAUUUUCAUGACUUACAAAGUUUGAUGUGUGUACUUGUCACUAUCAUCAUGUAAUGAGCCAUUCAUAGUUGGUACUUUCCAUUUGGCGUUACAUGAGGAGUGCCCUCGAGGCUUGAAUGGGAAUUUGAAGUUGUCAUCUUGGAUUAUUACCAAGUUUGAAACCUAGCAGACUAUUAAGUACUUAAAACUCAAGAGACUGAAGAGUGUGUACUGUGUAGUGCAAAGGAUAUAUAUAUAUAUAUAUAUAUAUAUAUAUAUAUAUAUCUUAGUAUCUCAAGUUCAGUUAUCUUUCUGUUGAUUCCUCCUUGCUCUUAUUAGAUGUGUGGUGUUUUGCAUCUCUUUUCUAAUUGAUCUCUGUACUUGUUGUUGACAGGAAAAAGCUCCAUAUGAAGCUAAAGCAGCUAAAAGGAAAACAGAGUAUGAAAAGCUUAUGAAUGCCUACAACAAUAAACAGGUAAAUUGAUCUGUACCAGUACUGGAAAAGGCCCUUCAUGGUUUCUCUAUCUUUGCUUUCCUGACUCACUCACUUCUCUAUCAGGAGGAUACGGAUGGUGAUGAUGAUGAAGAACCUGAGAAACCAAAAGCCAGUGUGACUCAUGAAGAUGAGGAGAGUGGGGAGGUAAUCCUCAAUGCUAUGACUUAUUGUUUUACUACUGCAAGUCCGCGUACUAGAUUGAUUUUUAAUAUUUUUCUUAUCUUGUAUGCAUUAUGGUAUUUUAAAAUAUUUGUUUAUCAUUUCAUGUUCCUCGAGAGUUUCCGUCAAUUCAACUCUUGGUUUAGUCAAAUGUAUGAACUGUUAUUAUUCUUACCAACAUGUUAGGCAAUCCAAUUCUACAUUUAUUGUAGUUCUCGUAUAAGAAACUUUAUGCUUGUAUAAUGUCCAGAUCAAGUGCUUUCACAAUAUUUAUGAUUUCAUUCUUGCUUUUGUAAGUGCUCCAACAAAGUAACAAUUCAAGAACUUGGAAAUGAGUGUUUCACUGUUACCAUUUUUAGUUAGUGGUGCUGGAUUAAAGAAUCCAUUUUGGGGGUUUUCUUUCUUUUCUUUUUCAUCUAGGAAAAAGUUAAACCCUCAUGAUUCCUUGCAGUAUCAAGAAAUCUAAUAUUAGAGGAAGGGUUGGAUUGUUGGUGGUCUAAAUAUAGAAAUUGAAUGUGUACUUUUUGACUGCCAUGAAUCCGUAAACUGUUUAUGGUAGACUUAAUUUGCUGAGAUAGUUCAAUCAUAUUCCAACUGGAAUGCAGUUCUCUAUAUUCCUUGUCUAAGUGCUUGCUAUGUUCAUCCUUACCAUAGAAUGAGUUUUCCAAUUGUAGGAAGAUGAUGAAGACGAUGAUGAUGAGGAUGAUGAAGAUUGAAGCUAGCUGCUGUGUCCCAUUAAUAUCAAGCCCAAAAGUUGGGACUUUCUGUUCUACUGUCACACCUUUUCACUUAUCACAUCUUUCACUGAUGUUAAAAUAUGGUAUUUUAUUUGAGAGUAAAGCAUUAAUUCCAUUAAAAAUGUAAGCCUUGAAGCUUCUAAGUAGGCUUGUUGUUAGCUUACAUCUAUGAGUUUGUAUAUAUCCUGUUUAUUGUGUGUUCAUUUGCUCUCUGUCUCGUUACAUUAUUCUUGUCUUUGCUAGCAAGAGAGCCAAAAAGAAGGGGGCAUUCCGAGAAUCGAACUCGGGACCUCUCGCACCCAAAGCGAGAAUCAUACCACUAGACCAAAUGCCCUCUACAGAAAGUGUAUAAAGACUAUGAUAUAAAACAUAACGUUGAACAUGCCCACCGAAGAUCAAGCACAAUCUAGAUGAACUUAAAAUAUUGAACUUUGACUUCCUGAGCAACAAACAUUUUGUUCAGGAUGAGCUGGGCCUUGGAACGAUGAUAAAAUUUUGCAGGGAAGGCUUUGGAAAGAUUGGCCCAACCCAAUCAAGGUUGGAUCUUCGUGGCAAACCUAAGCAUACAAGAACCCUCAAAAUCUCCAUCUUCCUCUAUAAGAUCUAGUCAAAGUUGUGAAGGGGGAAAUGAAGUGUGGGAGUUACAACUAUAGAUCAUAACUUCAAUCCUCCUUCAUGUAACAAAAGAUAUAUCUCUCUUUUACGGUUUUACCGUAUCAGUAUCUAAGAUAUUUAAAACUUAGAGAAGUACUGGAUCCGAUCGUGAUCAUAUCCACGUAUAAAAGAACCUUAGGGUUUGCUUCUGCAUCCUCAAACGGUGGUGGUGAUGGUGGUGGAGGAGGAGAAAUUGAGAUCGAAGCCAUGAUGGCUCUCACACGUUUGGUUGUCGGAGCAUGUCGCCUGAAAGUGAAAAUGCGAUGGUCACAUGGUCGCAAGUGGACUACUACUACUACCACAAAGUACUAUCAUUAUCGAUAAAAAGCAGAGCCAGAGACUAAAGAGAACCUUCUCCUCCCAUUGUGCCUACAAAAACCCAUAUGCUUUGCUUUGUGUUUUCAUGUUCAUCAUUAUAGUUAUAUACUAAAGUUUCCAUGCACUAUGAUUGUACUCCAUGCGUUAAUCCUCAACAUUAAUCAUUCCUAAUGUCACUUCAGUUCCCACCAACAUCCAAACCCCUUUUUACUCUUUACCAGCUUACUGCUUGCUAGGGUUUUAGUUUUACUUUCUUAUUUUGCACUCAUUCUUGUCGGAAUUUUGUCAUAGUUUACGGUACCACUCGUGUGUGCUCACCCGAUGAUAAUCUUCUUUCACUUCUAUAAUUGUUUUGCACAAAUGGGACACAGUGAUACGCCUUUUCUUGUUAACUAGGCAUAUAUAAGCAAUGGAAAUUGUUGUUGGAGUGAAAGAUAAAGGGAAAGAGAGAUUACUAAAGCAAUGGUAAUUUGUUACCCUUUUCCCUUUUGCAAGGUAUAUAGUUCUAUACACAUUUCUAGCUAAGAUAUCAAAUGAUCGAUACACGCACAGGCGCUUGGGAGUGUGGGAAAUUAUUUCCAACCUGAGUAAGAAUUCAAACGUACUGCAUGUUCAACUUUUUGUUUUGUUUUUGGGAUUAUGGAAUUGGAUGGGGGAGGAUAGAUCACCAACCCAAAAACAUUAUGAACUGACGUUUGUGGCCUGCAAGUACCCGAUUAACAUCAGGAUCCAACGUCGAUUACCACUUCAUGACUCGCUAGUCCAAGAUUUUUCAUCUUGUUAACUCUUUGGAAGCUGACACUUUUAUCAGCAUCAUAUAGAUCCGCAUAACCCCAAUUCUCGGCAAUCAAAUUAAAGACUUGUGAAUGUUGGAUAUCAAACUUGAAUAGGUUAGAGUUCUACUAGAUCAAGCUAGUGUCUUAUCAUUUCUAUCGACCCUCGUAAAUGUUCAAUGGAUGCGAAUGCCAUUAAACUUUUAAACAAGUUAAAGGGAAUCUGAAUUAGAACAUAGCUACCCCUAUAUUUCGGUUGAAGCAAGACAGCUUUGUCCCCCAUUUUUCAGGCAAUAACCAAGAAGGUAAAACGUAUCUCUAAUUCAAAAGUGAAUUCACUUUUGCUGUUUCAACCUCUCUUUUGAUCGACAAGUGAAAAAGAUGAUGUGUGCUUGAUUUGUCAUUUCCAGGAUUAGCUUAGUCGAUCACGAAUAUGAUUGCUGGAAUUACAACAAUUCAUGUUAAUGCAUUUAAGGACAAGACGGAAGGAAGUUAAGUGGGAUUUUGUGUUCAUAAUACUACUUGAUUAGAGACAAAGCAACCAAAUUAGCCUCAAAGAUUCAAACGAUUUGGCAAGCAUGUCUAUCAAUUAAUGUUUUUCAAUACCUACUACUCAUGAUGCGAUAAAAGUCCAUCUCCAAUGAGAAUGCCUCUCAUCCUCUUGACAGCAUGAAGGUGGAAAACAAUACGCAUGAUCGUGCAAACCUGAUAGAUAAAUUUGUUGUAUUACUAUAGAACAUAUAGAAUGCAUGGUCACCAGUGGCGGAUCCCUCGAAGAUGGGGUGAGUUACGUACUUAUUAGGCCGUUUUCGUGUUUUUGUAUGUUGGGCGAAGCCUAAAUUUUGUUUAGGGUAUAACUAUGCAAAAAUAUAAGACUGGAAGAGCUAAAUAAGUAUCACUGAAACAAACAAAGCAGAUUACCAUCAAACUUGUGUUGGUGUGCAAAGAAAUGGUUAGAAAAGAAGAGUCAAACACUUCAAAAUUUCAGUCCUCGAAAGCUCAGGUGGGUUUAACGAAAUCAAACAUACACAUUUGCAAGAACAAAAAGAGCUUAUACUUUGGUUUUUUUUUUUAUCAUCUCAAAUUUUCAGUGGGGCUUGAGCCCAAUCAAACAUGCACUUGGCUCCGCCCUGAUGGUGACAACCUCUUAAGUUUCAUAUUACUAUAACACACUAUUUUUACGAACCUCUUUUAAGGAAAACGCAUGCAUCUUGCGCUUUAGGGUUUAGGUACACCUAAGAAAAAUUGACACAUUCACAAGUAUACGAUAUUUAACUAUGAAAAGUAUAUAUGUAGGUAUACAUAUGUCACAUUUUCAUUCAUUUUAAAUAACACUUCCAAAGAUCCUCAUAUCAUCCAUAUCUUUUCACAUAAUUUAAUAGAAAAAAACAUAAAAGAGGCAUCCAAAGAGUCCUGGAGUUCCUCGAUCGCAUAAUAUGAUUCCAUACCAUUUUGCACAAGUAGCCAAAUAGACAAGACAUAGUAGCUAACUACGAACAUUUUGCAAUCAUGGAUCGGUAUGUUACAUGUUCUCUGCAUGUGAAAGAUAGGGACACACCGGACACCAUCCCAAUCACUCCUCAAGGGCCAGAAUAGAUUCAACACAGCUAGCAAAUUAAGCUGCAUGCGAUCUGUUAUAUAUCCCAGGCCAAUCGGAUAUAUCUAGUUGCCAUGCCGGCCAAUUGAGCUCAACUAUAUAUCUUAGAGAUAAAUACUUGAAACAUCGUUCAGCUUCGAGUUUUAAAACUUGAGCAAAGGAAGCCUCGUGAACCAAAUUAACCAAACCCUAGCUAAGAUUAAUCACGAAUUCAAACUGAAACCCAAGGUCGACCUAGUUCGAUACGAACUGAGCUGUUGGAACAAACUAGAAGCAUGGUUUCGGGAGAAACUGGUUGAAAGGUAGAUGCCAGAAGCUCGUACAGAAAGAGGCAGAGAGAAAUAAUUAGGGUUUGCAAAUCGAAGGGAGAGAGUGAUAGUGAGAGUGCAUGUGAGCAUGGUCGGGAAGAACGUACAGGAUCGCUGCACUCUCACUGAAAUACAAUCCAAUGCAAAAGGCUAGGGUUAGGGUUAAGGGAGUCAGAACUGGUACUGGUUGGCCGUCCCAAUUUUCCAGAAAUAAUAAAGAGUCUCGCAACCGCACGUGCAGUUCUGACACACACGUACAAACCCAUUCGUGCGAAGACGUCAGAAUUAGGGCAGACAACGUUGAAAACUGUACUCUCUAUCACUCACACUCAUGCUUUUUACCCACACGUGUGAAUCAUCAGACCUCGUGUUCAGUAGCUGACCGCUUUGACUGGUCUCACUCCACUCUUUCAUCACUGUUGAGUAGCUCGGUAGUGAAGAACAACGAUCGGCGCGCUCUAAUCUCGACGUAAAGGCUAAUUAGGGUUUGGGGUUUAGGGUUGUAUUUAUAUAGCCGAAAGAAUUUGACUUAUCUACGUUAAAUUAGGUACAAUUAAGAUCAUCAUGUUAUUUUUAUAUCAUUUUCACUUCAUUUAAUAGUUAUAAGAUAUCCAAACAAAUCCAAACAACUUAAAUUAAAACAAAAAAUCCAGAUCCAUAACCGAAAACCCUAUGACUAAAACGUACACUAGUGCAAAAGUUAUAUUGAAGUAGCAAAGGAUGUCUUCUUCUUCUUUUCAUGUGAAUGCAUAUGUGUGUGUUGUAAUGUACAUGAUAUAUCAUGAUCGCAUACACUAUACAAGUAUAGCAAAUUAUACGAUAAUAUAUAGUGCGUUAGAAUUCAAAAAUGAUUGAGGGAACAAACUAUAUAUUCAUUAUAUUGUAUCUGAUUGCGAUUAUUCAAAGUUAGAAAAUUAUUGCUCGACGUCAUAUCAAUCUUGCAUUAUUGCAUUGCUUGACUAGUAGCAAAUCGCUCCGAUUCAUAUCCAACACUAUCUGACACGCAACAAUCAAACAAAAAAGAGGUGAGAUUUUGUAUACGAUUGCACAAAAACACACCUUCUUCAUAUAUACAGUAAAAACUUCUCCCUAUAAAUUAAACCCACAUGUCCAAAAAAAAUAUAAGGCCACCCUAAUUGAAUUAUUAUGCUCUGGUCUAGCUAAUACUCUUAUGAAAUAACUAAUACAUACACAUAUAAUGACAUGAAUAUCGUUUUCAGCUUGAAAAUGUUGGUGUAGGGAAGCAAUUAUAUCUAGAAUACGGCAUAUUAAUAAUUGGAGUAUAGUUGACAACGCAAAUGAAAGAAGCAAUAAGCGAGCUCGGCAUAUUAUGGAUGAAUUGUAGAUAAGAUCUGAAAAGUUUUGAAUCAAAAGAAAAAAUGGAAAAGAGAGAAACAACUUGGUUGAAUUGUGAUCUUGAACUCCUAAUUAUCAAAAUGAAAUCAAUUUUUCGGUCCCCUUGUACACAGUGUUGCAUAAAUGACUCUAAGAUUUGAUAAGAUAUCGUGGUCCUUUGUAGCUUUUAUAGCUGUGGUACAGUGACGUUUAAGCACCUAUAACAAAAUUAACAUUUACCUUCGUCACGUUAAUCUUGUACUAGCUAGAAACUAAUUGAACCAAAUGGUAAUCGAAGUUGUAGAAUGCGAGGAUACAGAGCUAGAUAGAGAAUUGAGAAUUGUGUCGGCAGCAUCUAGUUAUCCGAGUGCAUCACUUAAUUUUCAUUUGUCCCACGAGGUCAAGAAUUUUGUCUCAUAAUUCAUUAGUCUAGUACGUUCAUAUAUAUAUAUAGCUGAUCUGUAUAUAAGAAACGUUGAGAUCGUACCCUUAACAAAUGAGUACUACUCUUGAUUUCCUGAAGGGUAACAAUCUCGAUCUAAUUACGUCGACGAGUCUCACUCAGUCUGAAGUUCCAUAAAUCAUACGUCUGUGUUUAUACUUUGAUGACAUAACAAAUUAGAUAUCACAAUCAUAAUAAUCAAAGAGAAUUUGUCAUUAAGAACAUAUAUAAUUGUAAGUUGAUUGGAAUUAAGUGAACGUAGCUCAUAUAUAUCUAAUAAUCGAAAAUUGAUAGCACGGACCCGUACCAACUGGGAAGUUGGAUCUAACAACAGCGUAUCUAUAUGUGAUCGAAAUCUUUAUCAUUGUGGUUGAUCGAGCUUCACUUAUUUGUGAUAUAACAGCGACCGAUCGUAACCUAAUAGCACCAUGCAUGGAUAUAGUUGGAGGCUUUGUAUAAAGCAAUGGGACCUUAGGGAGGGCAGGGAGAGUGUCACUUCACACGUGAGAUUGAGAUGGUUGUGGGACGCUUCUUGCUCGUCUACUAUUAAAGGAUAGGAUGCCCUUUGAUCAUGACUUUGCAUGAGCCAUGUCUCACUCGCUCUCACCAUUAGGGUUUGUUACUAGUUUUGCAACUUUGCUUAAGCAAAGGGUUAGGAUUUGACUUUGUAUUAGAUAAUCAGCAUUUUAUGCUAUAGUUUUUGCUUUAGAAUAUUGUUCACAACUUCACAUAAUUAUUGUUCGAGAAUGAUGAUGAUUAGAGUACUUAAUCUAACUUGUCCGGAAACAACUGACAUGCUUAGUUUGUGUGAUUAUUAUGUUAAACCAAUCAUGCAAUCAAAUAUGAAUUGGGAGAAUUGAGUGAAAGACAUUGUGAUCAUUAUAGAUUAGUAAGCACCCACAUAAAUCACAAUACAUAGCAAAGACUAAACAACUGAUUUGUGCGGUAUAGUUUUUUGUUUUAGUUUUUCUGAAAAAUUUUACAGUGUAUUAAUGCAUGUGAAUGAUGUGAUGCAUUAACUUUGUAAAUUGAGUCCUCAAACUAGUAAUAUUAGUCCUCGAAGUUGUAAUAUUAGUCUUUAAAGUUGUAAAAUUUUAUAAUUACAACGUACAUUAGUCAUCAUGCAUUCUUAAAGUGGUAAAAUAUGUGCUUAAAUUGGUAAUUGAGUCCUCAAAGUGAUCACAAAAAGUUGUUACAACUUUGAGGACUUAAUUAUUACUUUGAUGACUCAGUUACUACUUUGAGGACAAAUGAAGAUUAAUGUUGUUACAAUUUUAAGGACUCGUAUUACAACUUUAAGAACUCGAUUAGUACUGCUUUGAGAACCCAUUUUACAACUUAAAAACAAAAUUAAUACAUCACAUGCAUUAACACACGUUAGCCUUACCUAGUUUCAUGCUAAUCCUAGUUUGAUUACUCUCAUCUUUUUUUGAUAUUUAGGAAUCUGGAUGCCAAAGCUCUUUCGAUUAUUAUACUCGAUCGUGCAUAAAGUUAAUGUUUUACAUUCAUUUCUUAAAGAAGAAAGUCCAUCUACCCAAGUUUUUAACAGAGAAGCUCAUCCAAUGUUUAACUUUUAUUCUUAACAAAUUUAUUAUUAAAGAGAUAUUUCUUUCAUAGAGAAUCACAAAGAUAUGUUUACGAAUGAUUCACAACAUGGUCUCAACACUUUGGGAUGACGAAUGGGAUUGAAAUUUGAGGAAUGUGUGUUUCACGGAUCAUUUUCGGAUUCAGUACGAUUGAAGCUAGUGAUCGAUCAAAACCCUAAAAAAAAUUAAAGUUGGAGAGGCACAACACAAACACAUGGAUUCUGUCGUGAAAAGCUUGCUAUAUCUCUAUACCUUAAUAUAUAUAAAUCAUAACACCGGGAGACCUUGAUUCUUAGGUAUUGAUCAUUAUUUUUUCUGGGGUCGUGACUUGUCAUGCAUGUUCCUCAUGGGGACCGUGAUGUGGAACUGUGGAUGUUGAAGGAUGUUGAAGUAAAGCAGUGUGCUAUCUAUCAUUCCUCGCCUCAAUUUUUAUUUUAGGUCCAAACCCUAAAUGUGUAAUUACUCCCUUUCAUUAUUUUUCUAUACACGUGGAAGGUUUGCUAGGGUUAUAUUAUCGUUUGAGAAGCUUCACUUGUGGGGUUCAUGUUACCCACCUUUGGUUGCUCAUGAUCAAAGACUUCAUACAUAUGGACUUAGUUUAAUCGAGGGUUUAGUUUUGUUUAGUGAAGACAACGAAAGGGAAUGAAGGAAGAGCUAGUCUUUAGUUUCGACUUUACUUAACAUAUGUAUAAAACAUGUGGAAUCGGGUGGUAGGACUAAUUAACAAGCAUGAUGACAUUAGUUUUGUGGACACAAAUCUGCUUUUAUUCUUUCCAUAUAUGGUGUGGAUACUGAUGAACUUCAACUAUAGUUUAUACUCCUAAUCAACCACUACGUCCAUAGAUCAAGUUAGAUUCAACUUCAUUGCAAGUCACAUGAAGGAGCGAAACUAAUAUAUAACUAAUUAGUGUACCUACUAGCGAUACGUUUCCCCAUUGUCGGGAUGGAUCCAUCAAAUAUUAAAAUCAAAAUGGUACCAAUUGGAUGAAUUUCUAAAAAAAAAAAAAAAUAAGGUAUCGUUUGGACGAAUUUUUAUUUUUAAUAUAUGAAAAGAAUACGAAAAUGAAUACUUAAGGGUAAAUUAGUUAUUUUAUAAAUAAAAAUGGUUGUUGUCAAGUUUUUUAACGAAGUUAACGGUUUUAGAUAUCAAAUUUCGGUCGAAUUAAAAACGUGGGAUACUAUUUUAAAGUUAUUUUAUGAAGUUGAAAUACCAAAAUUUUGCUUUUCUAAAAGUUAAAACACUGUUUGACAACUACAACAACUUUCAUCUUUUGAUCUACAUAGACUAAAAGAUGAUCUCUUAUUAAUUUCAAUUUGGUUUACUUUCCUUUUUAUAGAAAGGAAUUAAUUUUCUUUCUAUGAAAUGAACUUAAAGUUAUAUAUAACCAUGACUCUCCCUCGACCUCUCUCUCUCUCUCCACUCCAUGUUUCCUCCCCCACAGUCUUAUCCCAAGAAGACACAAUAAAAAAGAGAGAUAGAAAAGCUUUUUAAGAAGAAAUAAGAAAGAAAGAAAAGCCCUCUCUCCGAGAGCUUCUUUGUCAGAUACGAAAAUAUCCGACAUUUAUUUUCUUUCCCCCAACACCUCCCCCUCAUCUCCUUCUCUCACUCUCUCUGUUAGAUUCUCUUUCUUACCAGACUACCCCCCCCCCGUGUGCUUCCCCACCAUCUCAAUUAAUGACCUUCUAAAACACAACCCUCAUCACACU
rnacentral:lncRNA from 1 species